GACGAACGCUGGCGGCGUGCUUAACACAUGCAAGUCGAACGGUGAAAGUGGAGCUUGCUCCGCUGGAUCAGUGGCGAACGGGUGAGUAACACGUGGGCAACCUGCCCCUGACUUCGGGAUAACUCCUCGAAAGAGGUGCUAAUACCGGAUACGAAUCCUGCAGGCAUCUGCGGGAUUGGAAAGUUUUUCGGUCAGGGAUGGGCCCGCGGCCUAUCAGCUUGUUGGUGAGGUAGUGGCUCACCAAGGCGACGACGGGUAGCCGGCCUGAGAGGGCGACCGGCCACACUGGGACUGAGACACGGCCCAGACUCCUACGGGAGGCAGCAGUGGGGAAUUUUCCGCAAUGGGCGAAAGCUUGACGGAGCGACGCCGCGUGAAGGAUGAAGGUUUUCGGACCGUAAACUUCUUUUUGUGAGGAAGAUUAUGACUGUACUCACAGAAUAAGCACCGGCUAACUACGUGCCAGCCGCCGCCGUAA
rnacentral:rRNA from 1 species